rnacentral:lncRNA from 8 species
AUGGAACGAAUGGAAGUGGACCAGUGCGCAGGCGCAACUACCGGGAGCGGAGGAGGGGCUCUUCGUAGAUCGAACAGCGCCCCCAUGAUUACAAGUGUCAGUGAUGGUAUGACAGUGUUCAGUCCAACUAGUUCAGCCCGGUAUCGGCGAAGCAGUGUCUCUGUGAAUCCCAGUUGCCCUUAUCGGGCCGUCCCCCUGUCCCCUUUCUCAUUGGGUGGUGAGAGACCAGACCACAAAAGGCAGGUUGAGAAUAUGGAGAUGACACUCAGGGGGAGUCUUCAGAGACUAAGUGCUUCCAACCUGGUCCCUCCUCCUGUCAGUCACUGGCAUGACUAUUCAUCAGGGGGAUUCCAUUCACAGGACAGUGGUGUCACACCCAAUUCGUCCCCUAGUCCAACUCGAAGGUUCAGGGGGCCUACAGUCAGUUCUACUGUGAGAUGGCCUGCCCUAACUCCACUGAAAAGGAAAGGAGGAGUGGAGUCUGAUGGCCCGCCCAAGAAGCUGUUUGUUGCCGGGGUAACAGAACCUGCUCACCGGACUAGUUACACAGUCAGUGUGUCCCAGGCGUCUGCAGACUCUCCUACAGGUGGUGUGUCUGUGUGUGAUGCCAGUCCCCAGGGUAGUCCACUGUCCCUGUCUCCUCCCCCCUCUUACCAGCCCAACAUCUAG